UACAGAGGGUGCGAGCGUUAAUCGGAAUUACUGGGCGUAAAGCGUGCGUAGACGGUAGCGUAAGUCAGAUGUGAAAGCCCCGGGCUCAACCUGGGAAUUGCAUUUGAGACUGCUCUGCUCGGGUGCGGAAGAGGGAAGCGGAAUUCCCGGUGUAGCGGUGAAAUGCGCAGAUAUCGGGAGGAACACCAAUGGCGAAGGCAGCUCGCUGGGACGUGACUGACGCUGAGACGCGAAAGCGUGGGGAGCAAACAGG
rnacentral:rRNA from 1 species